rnacentral:misc_RNA from 1 species
GAUGAAGAACGCAGCGAAAUGCGAUAAGUAGUGUGAAUUGCAGAAUUCAGUGAAUCAUCGAAUCUUUGAACGCACAUUGCGCCCCUUGGUAUCCCGAGGGGCAUGCCUGUUCGAGCGUCAUUUCACCACUCAAACCUGGCUUGGUGUUGGGCGACGUCCCCUUUGGGGACGCGCCUCGAAACGCUCGGCGGCGUGGCACCGGCUUUAAGCGUAGCAGAAUCUUUCGCUUUGGAAGUCGGGGCCCCGUCUGCCGGAAGACCUACUCGCAAGGUUGACCUCGGAUCAGGCAGGGAUACCCGCUGAACUUAAGCAUAUCAAUAAGCGGAGGA